rnacentral:rRNA from 1 species
UAUACUGCAGUCGAACGCACAGCGAAAGGUGCUUGCACCUUUCAAGUGAGUGGCGAACGGGUGAGUAACACGUGGACAACCUGCCUCAAGGCUGGGGAUAACAUUUGGAAACAGAUGCUAAUACCGAAUAAAACUUAGUGUCGCAUGACACAAAGUUAAAAGGCGCUUCGGCGUCACCUAGAGAUGGAUCCGCGGUGCAUUAGUUAGUUGGUGGGGUAAAGGCCUACCAAGACAAUGAUGCAUAGCCGAGUUGAGAGACUGAUCGGCCACAUUGGGACUGAGACACGGCCCAAACUCCUACGGGAGGCUGCAGUAGGGAAUCUUCCACAAUGGGCGAAAGCCUGAUGGAGCAACGCCGCGUGUGUGAUGAAGGCUUUCGGGUCGUAAAGCACUGUUGUAUGGGAAGAACAGCUAGAAUAGGAAAUGAUUUUAGUUUGACGGUACCAUACCAGAAAGGGACGGCUAAAUACGUGCCAGCAGCCGCGGUAAUACGUAUGUCCCGAGCGUUAUCCGGAUUUAUUGGGCGUAAAGCGAGCGCAGACGGUUUAUUAAGUCUGAUGUGAAAGCCCGGAGCUCAACUCCGGAAUGGCAUUGGAAACUGGUUAACUUGAGUGCAGUAGAGGUAAGUGGAACUCCAUGUGUAGCGGUGGAAUGCGUAGAUAUAUGGAAGAACACCAGUGGCGAAGGCGGCUUACUGGACUGCAACUGACGUUGAGGCUCGAAAGUGUGGGUAGCAAACAGGAUUAGAUACCCUGGUAGUCCACACCGUAAACGAUGAACACUAGGUGUUAGGAGGUUUCCGCCUCUUAGUGCCGAAGCUAACGCAUUAAGUGUUCCGCCUGGGGAGUACGACCGCAAGGUUGAAACUCAAAGGAAUUGACGGGGACCCGCACAAGCGGUGGAGCAUGUGGUUUAAUUCGAAGCAACGCGAAGAACCUUACCAGGUCU